UUUAGCAUAGAAACAUGAAAUUUGCAUGAAAGGAGAUCAAAUAGAUUACAUGAGCAUCAAGACAACUAGUUCUAAUCCCAACAAAUGAGAAAUUAGCUAUCCAUUUCCAUGGAUAGCUUUACAAUGAUAAAAGAGAAGAAGAACGAUGAAAAACCAACUCUGUGACGGUUCCCCGGCGAUGAAAUCAGCUCCAAAGCCUUCUCUCUAGUCUCCUAGGUCUCCCUUGAUGAUCUCCUUCGUUUUCUCUCUGUUUUGGUGAGUUUCCAAGUGAUGGGUUCCAAGAAGUUCUCCUCUGUUCUGCUUUAAAAUUUCCUUUUAAAUGGCAAAUCUGGCACGACCGCUCAGCCCC
rnacentral:lncRNA from 1 species